UGAGGAACAUGACCUUCGGCGGGGGAUAGCCGGCCCAACGGCCGGGUAAUACCGCGUACGACCACAUGGGGACAUCCCUGAGUGGUGAAAGCAGCAAUGCGCCGAUGGAGUGCCUCGCGGCCUAUCAGCUAGUUGGUGAGGUAACGGCUCACCAAGGCGACGACGGGUAGCUGGUCUGAGAGGAUGGCCAGCCCACAGUUGGGACUGAGACACGGCCCAGACCUCGUAACCGGGGAGG
rnacentral:rRNA from 1 species